GUGCGCCGCGCCCCGCGGGAGGAGCGGCCGAGCAGGCCCGGCGGACGGAGCGGCCCGCGCGGCGCGGGGGGCAUGAAGUUGGGCGCGCGCGGGCCUCGGAGCUGGGGCGCGGCGGAGCCGGGAGCUGCCCGCGUCUAGAGCCCGCUCGGCGCGCCAUGGAGCUCGGGGGCCCGGGGGCGCCGCCGCCGCCGCUGCUGCCGCCGCUGCUGCUGCUUCUGGGGGUCGGCCUCCUGCCCGGACGAGAAGAAUCAGAUGAUGACAACGAAUGUGUGGGUGAAGCAAG
rnacentral:lncRNA from 1 species